UCUUGAUCCUUCAAAAGUAUAUAUACUUUGCAUCACUUUAAAUUGAAUUUCUUUAUUAACAUUUUUCCUUUCUCCUUUUCUUAUCACAGGUGUUAAACGGCUCAUUUUCCUUGGAAUUAGUCAGUGAGAAGUAUUGGAAGGUUAACAAACCGAUGGAACUGUACUAUGCACCUACAAAGGAGCACAAAUAGUGAUGGACUUUGUCAACUUUUUUUUUUUUUUUUUCUGUCAUAUAUAAUAUGUUAUACAUCUAAGAUAAUAUAUUAUAUAGUAGAGGAGUCAUACACUCACUUGGAAAUGUUGCACUUUUAAAACAAGUGAGACCCUCUGAUCUAGUUCAACUGUUUUUUAUUUCUUGUUUCUUUAUAAGUACCGGUAUAUUUCUAAAUAAGCUCUCUGUUUUGGUAUUAAGAUCCCUGCAGCCAACAGCCAUAGAAAUGGAAUUUCUAAAAGUUACGACGAGGCCUCUGUAUUGUGUUGCAGGAGAGGUUUCUUUCUUUUUUUAUUUUUUUUUUAUUGUAUUUUCUUUGUGUUUUUUUCUAAUUUUGGAAUACAAUUAUUUAUUGAUUACUUAGAUAGGUUGGUAAUUAUACAUAUGGCACUGAAGGUAAAUUAUUCUGUUGUAAGCACAGGUAAUGCUGUAUAUCAAGGACAUGUUUUUUAUUUAAUUGCAAGUUUUCCCAAGUACAAAAGAACUAUACAUUUGAUAUACACUAAUUUUAGUUAAAAGGUUGAGAAAUUAGUGUCUGUUGGUACAAGUGGGUACCGUGAUGUAUUACACAUAUCAGCAUAUGAAUGACAUGUGUUACUUUUUUAACAAUCCCAUAUCCUUGUUACAUAGAUCAACGUUUGCACAAGUAGGAUCCAGUUUUGUAAAGGAGAAAUUUUUCGUUUUUUUUUUUUUUUUUCUUAACCCCUUUAUGAACCUCAAAGUAAAGAAUGCAUUGUAAUGUGUUAAACAACUUAGGCACUCAAAUGUUAAUCCUAAAGUAUAAGGCUGGGGUUCUCUAAGCACGAUAACUGUUACAGCCUGCUGUAGUUGUUAUGGUGCCAGGAGUAGCCUGGUUGCCUCCCAGACAUUUGCAAACCGUUUGGUCACUUCUGAAGCUGGAUACUGCUAGUGUUGCAGUGUAUAGCAUCAGAGGAGGAAGCACCCAGUGCCUGGCAGACCUCAGGUAAGUUGUCAAAUGGUUAAAAUACUUACCCUGAGAGGGUACCAGACCACUCUUGGCUCUAUAAGCUCUGCCGCGGCUGUAGUGGUUAUAGUGCUCAUAGUGUUUGUUUGGUGUUAACACUCAGCUACAAUUGGGCUAUAUUUCCCAAGGUUUGCGGAAUUAUAGUAUAAAAAAAGAGGACCACCACGAUCAGUAGUACAUGGGCUAGGAUUAACCCUUUCAGUGCCAGAGGUUAGGUUUUGUUGUAAAUAAAGUAUUUUCAGUUUAUAAAACUAAAUUCAUUCUUAUAUGUUUAUCCUCUAUGUUCCUAUUUUUAUGUUGAGAACAAUAGGGUAUUUGCCAUAGGUGGAAUGCUUGUAACAAAACAUUAAAAGUAAUAUCCGGAAUCA